rnacentral:rRNA from 1 species
UCGAGGGGUAGGGUAGCAAUACCUGAGACCGGCGCACGGGUGCGUAACGCGUAUGCAACCUACCUUUUACAGGGGAAUAGCCCAGAGAAAUUUGGAUUAAUGCCCCAUGGUAUCUUCGAGUGGCAUCACUUGAUUAUUAAAGUUCCAACGGUAAAAGAUGGGCAUGCGUCCUAUUAGCUAGAUGGUAAGGUAACGGCUUACCAUGGCUACGAUAGGUAGGGGUCCUGAGAGGGAGAUCCCCCACACUGGUACUGAGACACGGACCAGACUCCUACGGGAGGCAGCAGUGAGGAAUAUUGGACAAUGGGCGCAAGCCUGAUCCAGCCAUGCCGCGUGCAGGAAGAAGCAUCUAUGGUGUGUAAACUGCUUUUGUACGGGAAGAAACACUCCUACGUGUAGGAGCUUGACGGUACCGUAAGAAUAAGGAUCGGCUAACUCCGUGCCAGCAGCCGCGGUAAUACGGAGGAUCCAAGCGUUAUCCGGAAUCAUUGGGUUUAAAGGGUCCGUAGGCGGUUUAUUAAGUCAGUGGUGAAAUCCCGCAGCUCAACUGUGGAAUGGCCAUUGAUACUGAUAGACUUGAAUUAUUGGGAAGUAACUAGAAUAUGUAGUGUAGCGGUGAAAUGCUUAGAUAUUACAUGGAAUACCAAUUGCGAAGGCAGGUUACUACCAAUAUAUUGACGCUGA